rnacentral:rRNA from 1 species
UACAGAGGGCGCAAACGUUGCUCGGAAUUACUGGGCGUAAAGGGUUCGUAGGUGGCCACUUAAGUCAGACGUGAAAUCCCUCAGCUUAACUGGGGAACUGCGUCUGAUACUGGAUGGCUUGAGUGCAGGAGAGGAAUGCGGAAUUCCAGGUGUAGCGGUGAAAUGCGUAGAUAUCUGGAGGAACACCGGUGGCGAAGGCGGCAUUCUGGACUGUAACUGACACUGAGGAACGAAAGCCAGGGGAGCAAACGGG